UAUCCAACCUGCCGAUGACUCGGGGAUAGCCUUUCUAAAGAAAGAUUAAUACCCGAUGGCAUAGUUCUUCCGCAUGGUAGAACUAUUAAAGAAUUUCGGUCAUCGAUGGGGAUGCGUUCCAUUAGGUUGUUGGCGGGGUAACGGCCCACCAAGCCUUCGAUGGAUAGGGGUUCUGAGAGGAAGGUCCCCCACAUUGGAACUGAGACACGGUCCAAACUCCUACGGGAGGCAGCAGUGAGGAAUAUUGGUCAAUGGACGAGAGUCUGAACCAGCCAAGUAGCGUGAAGGAUGACUGCCCUAUGGGUUGUAAACUUCUUUUAUACGGGAAUAAAGUGAGGCACGUGUGCCUUUUUGUAUGUACCGUAUGAAUAAGGAUCGGCUAACUCCGUGCCAGCAGCCGCGGUAAUACGGAGGAUCCGAGCGUUAUCCGGAUUUAUUGGGUUUAAAGGGAGCGUAGGCGGACGCUUAAGUCAGUUGUGAAAGUUUGCGGCUCAACCGUAAAAUUGCAGUUGAUACUGGGUGUCUUGAGUACAGUAGAGGCAGGCGGAAUUCGUGGUGUAGCGGUGAAAUGCUUAGAUAUCACGAAGAACUCCGAUUGCGAAGGCAGCUUGCUGGACUGUAACUG
rnacentral:rRNA from 1 species